GUGGGUAUAGCUCACGUGGCAGAGUGCAUGCUUGCAUGCAAGAGGUCCUGGGUUCAAACCCCAGUACCGCCA
rnacentral:tRNA from 1 species